CGAUGCAUUUCAGAAGAACGUUGUUAUUACAAUGUCUUCUUGCAAAUGACUAAAAUAUUUGAAGUGCCGUUGCUUCCAAACGCCCAAUAGGUGCUUCCGAGGCACAACUAACGGAACAGGUUCCACCGAGACUUGAACUCGGAUCGCAGGAUUCAGAGUCCUGAGUGCUAACCAUUACACCAUGGAACCUACAGAGGCUCUUUCGAGGUUCGCUUCGCGGAAACAUCAAUGAUUCCGCCCGGGCUCGAACCGGGGACCUUGCGCGUGUUAAGCUCACGUGAUAACCACUACACUACGGAAUCUGGCAACUAGCCAGCGACAUGUUUUUGCCUUUUUCUCUAGCUACUUUUGUCUUGUAUUGCUUUCCUUCGUCAUAGGUUUCAAAAUUCAUUGGAUUCCGUAGUGUAGCGGUUAUCACGUGCGCUUCACACGCGCAAGGUCCCCGGUU